rnacentral:rRNA from 1 species
UACGUAGGCAGCGAGCGUUGUUCGGAAUUACUGGGCGUAAAGCGUGCGCAGGCGGUUUUGUAAGACUGUCGUGAAAUCCCCGGGCUUAACCUGGGAAUGGCGAUGGUGACUGCAAGGCUAGAGUUUGGCAGAGGGGGGUAGAAUUCCACGUGUAGCAGUGAAAUGCGUAGAUAUGUGGAGGAACACCGAUGGCGAAGGCAGCCCCCUGGGUCAAAACUGACGCUCAUGCACGAAAGCGUGGGGAGCAAACAGG